AUUGAACGCUGGCGGCAGGCCUAACACAUGCAAGUCGAACGAGUGGCGGACGGGUGAGUAAUAUCUGGGAAACUGCCUGAUGGAGGGGGAUAACUACUGGAAACGGUAGCUAAUACCGCAUACCAUCAGAUGUGCCCAGAUGGGAUGAGCUAGUUGGUGGGGUAACGGCUCACCAAGGCGCCGAUCCCUAGCUGGUCUGAGAGGAUGACCAGGCACAGUGGAACGGAGACACGGUCCAGACGCCUACGGGAGGCAGCAGUGGGGAAUAUUGCCCAAUGGGCGCAAGCCUGAUGCAGCGAUGCCGAGUGUAUGAAGAAGGCCGUCGGGUUGUAAAGUACUUUCAGCGUGGAGGCGUUACCCGCAGAAGAAGCACCGGCUAACUCCGUGCCAGCAGCCGCGGUAAUAC
rnacentral:rRNA from 1 species